rnacentral:rRNA from 1 species
UACGAAGGGGGCUAGCGUUGUUCGGAAUUACUGGGCGUAAAGCACGCGCAGGCGGUUCUUCAAGUCAGAGGUGAAAGCCCAGAGCUCAACUCUGGAAUGGCCUUUGAGACUAGAGAACUUGGGUACGGGAGAGGUGAGUGGAAUUCCGAGUGUAGAGGUGAAAUUCGUAGAUAUUCGGAAGAACACCAGUGGCGAAGGCGACUUACUGGACACAUAUUGACGCUGAGGUGCGAAAGCGUGGGGAGCAAACAGG